rnacentral:rRNA from 1 species
CCUUUUGAGCUCGGUCUCGUGGGUUUUGAAGAGUUUCAAAGCCUUCGGAUUCGCGGGAUUGAGAUCUCUUGGCGUACUUUUUCGUACGGUUAGUCAACAUCGGUUUUGAAUGUCAUAAAAUGACUGGAGGAAUGUAGCUUCGAUCUCGUAUUGAAGUGUUAUAGCCUUUGGUAGAUGUGAUGUUUGAGACCGAGGAUUGCAACGGAUACCCUU